rfam:Pongo abelii chromosome X.
GGUUGAAUUCAGUGUCGUAGCAGGAAUUCUUAGAGCUGGCCGUCCCAAGAUGGGGUGGAGAGAGCAGCAUGAAAGAGAGAGAGAGAGAGAGAGAGACACGCCUGAAUGGCAGCAGCAGGCCUUAGCGGCAGUGGACAGCAGGCACAGGACCAGCUUUGCCUUGAGCCGCAACGCUGACGCCAGAAAAGGACAACCUCUCCAGAAUUGCCGCAGUGUGCUUCC